rnacentral:rRNA from 1 species
CAUGCAAGUCGAACGAACUCUGGUAUUGAUUGGUGCUUGCAUCAUGAUUUACAUUUGAGUGAGUGGCGAACUGGUGAGUAACACGUGGGAAACCUGCCCAGAAGCGGGGGAUAACACCUGGAAACAGAUGCUAAUACCGCAUAACAACUUGGACCGCAUGGUCCGAGCUUGAAAGAUGGCUUCGGCUAUCACUUUUGGAUGGUCCCGCGGCGUAUUAGCUAGAUGGUGGGGUAACGGCUCACCAUGGCAAUGAUACGUAGCCGACCUGAGAGGGUAAUCGGCCACAUUGGGACUGAGACACGGCCCAAACUCCUACGGGAGGCAGCAGUAGGGAAUCUUCCACAAUGGACGAAAGUCUGAUGGAGCAACGCCGCGUGAGUGAAGAAGGGUUUCGGCUCGUAAAACUCUGUUGUUAAAGAAGAACAUAUCUGAGAGUAACUGUUCAGGUAUUGACGGUAUUUAACCAGAAAGCCACGGCUAACUACGUGCCAGCAGCCGCGGUAAUACGUAGGUGGCAAGCGUUGUCCGGAUUUAUUGGGCGUAAAGCGAGCGCAGGCGGUUUUUUAAGUCUGAUGUGAAAGCCUUCGGCUCAACCGAAGAAGUGCAUCGGAAACUGGGAAACUUGAGUGCAGAAGAGGACAGUGGAACUCCAUGUGUAGCGGUGAAAU